rnacentral:rRNA from 1 species
UACGGGGGGGGGUAAGCGUUGUCGGAUUUACUGGGCGUAAAGGGCGCGUAGGCGGCGUGUUAAGUCAGCUGUGAAAUCUCCGAGCUUAACUCGGAACGGUCAGCUGAUACUGAUGUGCUAGAGUGCAGAAGGGGGCAAUCGGGAAUUCUUGGUGUAGCGGUGAAAAUGCGGUAGAUAUCAAGAGGAACACCCUGAGGUGAAGACGGGGUUGCUGGGGCUGACACUGACGCUGAGGCGCGAAAGCUAGGGGUAGCAAAACGGGG